UUUGCAUAAUGGAUUAACUAUAUAUUUAUUAGAUCUACCAUCACGAAUUAGUUCUGAGCUAAAUAUAAUUACAAUAUUAGUUGGUUAGAUUAGGUGUGGCAAAACCUUACCCAAAAUUAUACUUAGAGGUGAUAGGCCUAUCAAAAACUAAGAUAUCUUGAUUUCAAUGAAAUGUAUUUAGUACAAUUAAUACAUUUAUUAAGUGUUUAGGCUUAAUAACAAUAUUAAAAUAUAUUCUACACAAUUAUUACGUUUUAAUAAAUAAAUAUAUAUAUAUAAAACAUACUAUACUUCUAUGGAAAUUAUAUAUAGUAAUUGGAUGCAAUUUAAUAAUAAUACAUGUAAAUAAUGUUGGUAUUAGUAUAUAUAUAAGUUUUUGUAAGGAACUCGGCAAAGUGGUCCUCAACUGUUUAUCAAAAACAUAACUAUGUGUAAUAUAUGCAUAGCGGUAUCUGCUCAAUGAUUAUAUUAAAUAGCCGCAGUAUACUGACUGUGCAAAGGUAGCAUAAUCAAUUGACUUGUAAUUGAAGUCUGGAAUGAAGGAAAGUAUGGGGAGCGACUGUCUUAUAAGAUUACGGGGAAUUUACUUAUGAAGUGAAAAUACUUCUUUAAACAUAAGGGACGAGAAGACCCUAGAAAUUUUAAGUAACAUAAAAUGAUAUUAAAUAAUUUUCGCUGGGGCGGCGGAGUAACAUUGAACUUACUCACACAAACUUGCGCCUUGUUUGGCAACUGAUAAAAUUACUCUAGGGAUAACAGCAUAAUAUUUAAAAGUUUGUGACCUCGAUGUUGGACUAGGACAUAAUAACCUAAAAGGUUUUUUAUAAUGCUCUGUUCGAGCAUAAACUCCUACAUGAUCUGAGU
rnacentral:rRNA from 1 species